UACGAAGGGGGCGAGCGUUGUUCGGAUUUACUGGGCGUAAAGGGCGCGUAGGCGGCGUGACAAGUCACUUGUGAAAUCUCUGGGCUUAACCCAGAACGGCCAAGUGAAACUGUCGUGCUAGAGUGCGGAAGGGGCAAUCGGAAUUCUCGGUGUAGCGGUGAAAUGCGUAGAUAUCAGGAGGAACACCGGUGGCGAAGGCGGAUCUCUGGGCCUUACCUGACGCUGAGGCGCGAAAGCUAGGGGAGCAAACAGG
rnacentral:rRNA from 1 species